rnacentral:rRNA from 1 species
AGUGAACGCUGGCGGUAGGCCUAACACAUGCAAGUCGAACGGCAGCACAGUAAGAGCUUGCUCUUACGGGUGGCGAGUGGCGGACGGGUGAGGAAUACAUCGGAAUCUACUUUUUCGUGGGGGAUAACGUAGGGAAACUUACGCUAAUACCGCAUACGACCUACGGGUGAAAGCAGGGGAUCUUCGGACCUUGCGCGAUUGAAUGAGCCGAUGUCGGAUUAGCUAGUUGGCGGGGUAAAGGCCCACCAAGGCGACGAUCCGUAGCUGGUCUGAGAGGAUGAUCAGCCACACUGGAACUGAGACACGGUACAGACUCCUACGGGAGGCAGCAGUGGGGAAUAUUGGACAAUGGGCGCAAGCCUGAUACAGCCAUACCGCGUGGGUGAAGAAGGCCUUCGGGUUGUAAAGCCCUUUUGUUGGGAAAGAAAAGCAGCAGGUUAAUACCCCGCUGUUCUGACGGUACCCAAAGAAUAAGCACCGGCUAACUUCGUG